rnacentral:rRNA from 1 species
AGCACUGUAGGAGUCAGCAGCCGCGGUAAUACGUAGGGGGCAAGCGUUAUCCGGAUUUACUGGGUGUAAAGGGAGCGUAGGUGGCAUGAUAAGUCAGAUGUGAAAGCCCGGGGCUCAACCCGGGAUUGCAUUUGAAACUAUCAAGCUAGAGUGCAGGAGAGGUAAGUGGAAUUCCUAGUGUAGCGGUGAAAUGCGUAGAUAUUAGGAGGAACACCAGUGGCGAAGGCGGCUUACUGGACUGUAACUGACACUGAGGCUCGAAAGCGUGGGGAGCAAACAGGAUUAGAUACCCUGGUAGUCCACGCUGUAAACGAUGAAUACUAGGUGUCGGGGCCCAUCCGGGCUUCGGUGCCGCAGCUAACGCAAUAAGUAUCCACCUGGGGAGUACGUUCGCAAGAAUGAAACUC